GGAGAACCAACUAAUUUGAAGUUGAUGAUUAAGUUACUAUCUAAUUAUUGUUGUAUGAUAUAUUUCUAAGAAUUAUUUGAAAAAUGUCAUACAUGCUGAAAAUUAUUUGUAAAAAGAUUGUAAAAAGGCUAAGAGAUAGCCUAAAGUUCAUUUAGAUUCCCAGCGGCAUAAAAAUCUUUGUUAAAGGCGACCAUUUUAUAUAUUGCAUCGUAGAUCCUAAAAAUAAAAAAAUAAAAAUCAAUUCAAUUAAUAUUGAAAAGUUUAGGAAGUAUAAUCAUGUUGGGUACUUAGGAUUUGAGUGAUUACGUUGUGCUUCUAAUAAUUAUUUGAUAAGUACCACACAAUUUGAAAACCAUUUGCCAAAAGAGUGUAGUAUGCAUAGGUGGAAACC
rnacentral:lncRNA from 1 species